GGUUUGUGGCUCAGUGGUAGAGUGCUGACUUAACUCGUGUGAGGCACUGGGUUCAAUUCUCAGCACCA
rnacentral:tRNA from 1 species